CCUACGGGAGGCAGCAGUGAGGAAUAUUGGUCAAUGGGCUUACGCCUGAACCAGCCAAGCCGCGUGAGGGAAGACUGCCCUAUGGGUUGUAAACCUCUUUUGUCAGGGAGCAACUCCGGCUACGUGUAGCCGGACUGAGAGUACCUGAAGAAUAAGCAUCGGCUAACUCCGUGCCAGCAGCCGCGGUAAUACGGAGGAUGCGAGCGUUAUUCGGCUUGAUUGGGUUUAAAGGGUGCGUAGGCGGAAUGCCAAGUCAGCGGUAAAAUCGCGGGGCUCAACCUCGCUCCGCCGUUGAAACUGGCGUUCUUGAGUGAGAGAGAAGUAUGCGGAAUGCGUGGUGUAGCGGUGAAAUGCAUAGAUAUAACGAAGAACACCGAUUGCGAAGGCAGCAUACCGGCGCCCAACUGACGCUGAAGCACGAAAGCGUGGGUAUCGAACAGGAUUAGAUACCCCUGUAGUC
rnacentral:rRNA from 1 species